UGGGGAAUCUUAGACAAUGGGGGCAACCCUGAUCUAGCCAUGCCGCGUGAGUGAUGAAGGCCUUAGGGUUGUAAAGCUCUUUCAGCUGUGAAGAUAAUGACGGUAGCAGCAGAAGAAGUCCCGGCUAACUCCGUGCCAGCAGCCGCGGUAAUACGGAGGGGACUAGCGUUGUUCGAAAUUACUGGGCGUAAAGCGCACGUAGGCGGAUCGAAAAGUUGGGGGUGAAAUCCCGGGGCUCAACCCCGGAACUGCCUUCAAAACUAUUGGUCUGGAGUUCGAGAGAGGUGAGUGGAAUUCCGAGUGUAGAGGUGAAAUUCGUAGAUAUUCGGAGGAACACCAGUGGCGAAGGCGGCUCACUGGCUCGAUACUGACGCUGAGGUGCGAAAGCGUGGGGAGCAAACAG
rnacentral:rRNA from 1 species